CAGCAGCCACGGUAAUACGGAGGGCGCGAGCGUUACCCGGAUUUACUGGGCGUAAAGGGCGUGUAGGCGGCCUGGGGCGUCCCAUGUGAAAGGCCACGGCUCAACCGUGGAGGAGCGUGGGAUACGCUCAGGCUAGAGGGUGGGAGAGGGUGGUGGAAUUCCCGGAGUAGCGGUGAAAUGCGCAGAUACCGGGAGGAACGCCGAUGGCGAAGGCAGCCACCUGGUCCACUUCUGACGCUGAGGCGCGAAAGCGUGGGGAGCAAACCGGAUUAGAUACCCCGGUAGUCCCUGUCUCUUAUAA
rnacentral:rRNA from 1 species